rnacentral:tRNA from 1 species
UCCCAGCUGGCUCAGCGGUAAAGAAUCUGCUUCACCAGCAGAAGACAUGGAUUCAGUCCCUGUGUUGGGAA